rnacentral:tRNA from 1 species
GGCGGCGUAGCUCAGCUGGCUAGAGCGUACGGUUCAUACCCGUAAGGUCGGGAGUUCGACUCUCUCCGCCGCUA